CCUACGGGAGGCAGCAGUGGGGAAUCUUGCGCAAUGGGCGAAAGCCUGACGCAGCCAUGCCGCGUGAAUGAUGAAGGUCUUAGGAUUGUAAAAUUCUUUCACCGGGGACGAUAAUGACGGUACCCGGAGAAGAAGCCCCGGCUAACUUCGUGCCAACAGCCGCGGUAAUACGAAGGGGGCUAGCGUUGCUCGGAAUUACUGGGCGUAAAGGGAGCGUAGGCGGACAUUUAAGUCAGGGGUGAAAUCCCGGGGCUCAACCUCGGAAUUGCCUUUGAUACUGGGUGUCUUGAGUAUGAGAGAGGUGUGUGGAACUCCGAGUGUAGAGGUGAAAUUCGUAGAUAUUCGGAAGAACACCAGUGGCGAGGGCGACACACGGGCUCAUUACUGA
rnacentral:rRNA from 1 species